rnacentral:rRNA from 1 species
UACGGGGGGAGCAAGCGUUGUUCGGAUUUACUGGGCGUAAAGGGCGCGUAGGCGGACAGUUUAGUCAGAGGUGAGAGCCCAGGGCUCAACCUUGGAAUUGCCUUUGAUACUGGCUGUCUUGAGUUCGGGAGAGGUGAGUGGAAUGCCGAGUGUAGAGGUGAAAUUCGUAGAUAUUCGGCGGAACACCAGUGGCGAAGGCGACUCACUGGCCCGAUACUGACGCUGAGGCGCGAAAGCGUGGGGAGCAAACAGG